rnacentral:rRNA from 1 species
UUGAACGCUGGCGGCAUGCCUUACACAUGCAAGUCGAACGGUAACAGGUCUUCGGAUGCUGACGAGUGGCGAACGGGUGAGUAAUACAUCGGAACGUGCCCGAUCGUGGGGGAUAACGCAGCGAAAGCUGUGCUAAUACCGCAUACGAUCUACGGAUGAAAGCAGGGGACCGCAAGGCCUUGCGCGGACGGAGCGGCCGAUGGCAGAUUAGGUAGUUGGUGGGAUAAAAGCUUACCAAGCCGACGAUCUGUAGCUGGUCUGAGAGGACGACCAGCCACACUGGGACUGAGACACGGCCCAGACUCCUACGGGAGGCAGCAGUGGGGAAUUUUGGACAAUGGGGGAAACCCUGAUCCAGCCAUUCCGCGUGAGUGAAGAAGGCCUUCGGGUUGUAAAGCUCUUUCAGGAGGGAAGAAACGGUUGCGGCUAAUACCCGCGACUAAUGACGGUACCUUCAGAAGAAGCACCGGCUAACUACGU